rnacentral:ribozyme from 14 species
AGAGAGAAAGAAAAAGACAUUUAGUGUUUCCCGGUAUGCAUAGAGGGAGAAUAUUUCUUAUACUUGUACUGUUCCUGAUCUCUUUCUUUUCUUCUUUCUCUCCUCCCUUUCUCUCCUUCUCCCUCUCUCUCUCUCUUUCUCCUU